rnacentral:rRNA from 1 species
AUGGACGCUGGCGGCGUGCCUAAUACAUGCAAGUCGAGCGAACGGACGAGAAGCUUGCUUUUCUGAUGUUAGCGGCGGACGGGUGAGUAACACGUGGAUAACCUACCUAUAAGACUGGGAUAACUUCGGGAAACCGGAGCUAAUACCGGAUAAUAUUUUGAACCGCAUGGUUCAAAAGUGAAAGACGGUCUUGCUGUCACUUAUAGAUGGAUCCGCGCUGCAUUAGCUAGUUGGUAAGGUAACGGCUUACCAAGGCAACGAUGCAUAGCCGACCUGAGAGGGUGAUCGGCCACACUGGAACUGAGACACGGUCCAGACUCCUACGGGAGGCAGCAGUAGGGAAUCUUCCGCAAUGGGCGAAAGCCUGACGGAGCAACGCCGCGUGAGUGAUGAAGGUCUUCGGAUCGUAAAACUCUGUUAUUAGGGAAGAACAUAUGUGUAAGUAACUGUGCACAUCUUGACGGUACCUAAUCAGAAAGCCACGGCUAACUACGUG